rnacentral:rRNA from 18 species
CCGUACCCCAAACCGACACAGGUUGUCAGGUAGAGAAUACCAAGGCGCUUGAGAGAACUCGGGUGAAGGAACUAGGCAAAAUGGUACCGUAACUUCGGGAGAAGGUACGCCGCUGACGGUGAUGAGACUUGCUCUCUGAGCUAUCGGCGGUCGCAGUGAAAAGGCCCCUGCAACUGUUUAUUAAAAACACAGCACUCUGCAAACGCGUAAGCGGACGUAUAGGGUGUGACGCCUGCCCGGUGCCGGA